rnacentral:rRNA from 1 species
AUUGAACGCUGGCGGAAUGCUUUACACAUGCGAGUCGAACGGCAGCACGGGGCAACCUGGUGGCGAGUGGCGAACGGGUGAGUAAUACAUCGGAACGAGCCCAAUCGUGGGGGAUGACGUAGCGGAAGUUACGCUAAUACCGCAUACGAUCUACGGAUGAAAGCGGGGGAUCGCAAGACCUCGCGCGAAUGGAGCGGCCGAUGUCGGAUAAGGUAGUUGGUGGGGUAAAGGCUCACCAAGCCGACGACCUGUAGCUGGUCGGAGAGGACGACCAGCAACACGGGGACUGAGACACGGCCCAGCCUCCGACGGGAGGCAGCAGUGGGCAAUUUUGGACAAUGGGCGCAAGCCUGAUCCCGCCAUUCCGCGUGCAGGAUGAAGGCCUUCGGGUUGUAAACUGCUUUUGUACGGAACGAAACAGUUCUCUCUAAUACAGGGGGCUAAUGACGGUACCGUAAGAAUAAGCACCGGCUAACUACUUGCCAGCCGCCGCAGUAAAAC